rnacentral:lncRNA from 12 species
AACAGGUUAGGUCAUGACUUAGGUGUUUAUGUCUUUCCUGUGAUUACAGAGGAAAGCAAAUAAGCAAAGUCACUUAGAUGAGAUGUUUAACUUUCAAUGGUUAAUGCUAGUACAGAAAUGCCCACAGGCACACAUAUUAGGAUCUGGAU